CCUACGGGUGGCAGCAGUGAGGAAUAUUGGUCAAUGGACGAGCGUCUGAACCAGCCAAGUAGCGUGAAGGAUGACUGCCCUAUGGGUUGUAAACUUCUUUUAUAUGGGAAUAAAAUGUUCCACGUGUGGGAUUUUGUAUGUACCAUAAGAAUAAGGAUCGGCUAACUCCGUGCCAGCAGCCGCGGUAAUACGGAGGAUCCGAGCUUUAUCCGGAUUUAUUGGGUUUAAAGGGAGCGUAGGUGGAUUGUUAAGUCAGUUGUGAAAGUUUGCGGCUGAACCGUAAAAUUGCAGUUGAAACUGGCAGUCUUGAGUACAGUAGAGGUGGGCGGAAUUCGUGGUGUAGCGGUGAAAUGCUUAGAUAUCACGAAGAACUCCGAUUGCGAAGGCAGUUCACUGGACUGCAACUGACACUGAGGCUCGAAAGUGUGGGUAUCAAACAGGAUUAGAUACCCCUGUAGUC
rnacentral:rRNA from 1 species